rnacentral:rRNA from 1 species
GAACGAAAGUUCGACUAAGUCAUAUUAAAUAAGGGUUGGUAAAUUUCGUGCCAGCCACCGCGGUCAUACGAUUAACCCAAAUUAAUAAACCCUCCGGCGUAAAGCGUGUCAAAGACUAAUACCAAAAUAAAGUUAAAACCCAGUUAAGCCGUAAAAAGCUACAACCAAAGUAAAAUAGACUACGAAAGUGACUUUAAUACCUCUGACUACACGAUAGCUAAGACCCAAACUGGGAUUAGAUACCCCACUAUGCUUAGCCCUAAACUAAAAUAGCUUACCACAACAAAGCUAUUCGCCAGAGUACUACUAGCAACAGCCUAAAACUCAAAGGACUUG